rnacentral:rRNA from 1 species
CAGUCGCCGCGGGAAUACAGAGGGUGCAAGCGUUAAUCGGAAUUACUGGGCGUAAAGCGCGCGUAGGUGGUUUGUUAAGUUGGAUGUGAAAGCCCCGGGCUCAACCUGGGAACUGCAUCCAAAACUGGCAAGCUAGAGUACGGUAGAGGGUGGUGGAAUUUCCUGUGUAGCGGUGAAAUGCGUAGAUAUAGGAAGGAACACCAGUGGCGAAGGCGACCACCUGGACUGAUACUGACACUGAGGUGCGAAAGCGUGGGGAGCAAACAGGAUUAGAUACCCCUGUAGUCCCUGUCUCUUAUAC